GAUGAACGCUAGCGGCAGGCUUAAUACAUGCAGGUCGUGGGGCAGCAGGGGUGUAGCAAUACAUCUGCUGGCGACCGGCAAACGGGUGCGUAACACGCACGCAACCCUCCCGUUACUGUGGCAUAGCCCAGGGAAACUUGGAUUAAUACCACAUAUUAUCUAGAGAGGGCAUCCUUUUUAUAUUAAAGCUUCGGCGGUAACGGAUGGGCGUGCGGUUGACUAGGUAGUUGGCGGGGUAACGGCCCACCAAGCCUACGAUCAAUAGCUGAUGUGAGAGCAUGAUCAGCCACACGGGCACUGAGACACGGGCCCGACUCCUACGGGAGGCAGCAGUAAGGAAUAUUGGGCAAUGGACGAAAGUCUGACCCAGCCAUGCCGCGUGAAGGAUUAAGGUCCUCUGGAUUGUAAACUUCUUUUCUCUGGGGCGAAAACCAGCUAUUCUUAGCUAUUUGACAGUACCAGAGGAAUAAGCACCGGCUAACUCCGUGCCAGCAGCCGCCGUAAUAC
rnacentral:rRNA from 1 species